rnacentral:rRNA from 1 species
GACGUAGGGCGCGAGCGUUGUCCGGAUUUAUUGGGCGUAAAGAGCUCGUAGGCGGCUUGUCGCGUCGUCCGUGAAAACCUGCAGCUUAACUGUGGGCUUGCGGUCGAUACGGGCAUCACUGGAGUUCGGCAGGGGAGACUGGAAUUCCUGGUGUAGCGGUGAAAUGCGCAGAUAUCAGGAGGAACACCGGUGGCGAAGGCGGGUCUCUGGGUCGAUACUGACGCUGAGGAGCGAAAGCGUGGGGAGCGAACAGG